UAAUAUAAUCGACCGUAUGGAUACUUUGGACACUGUUCAACGCUACCGAGAGGUCAUCCAUGGACAACAGACGCAACAAAUGGGCCGGCGCGAUGCAAGAAGUAGGACGGGCGGUGGCAUGGCAACGUUAGUCCAGCCUCGUAUCAUUUGGGUAGAGAGAAAUUUUGAGCUCACACGGGAGCCGGAGCCCAAUCCUGAAUAUUCCAGAAAAAUAUUUAUAGGCGGGUUUCCCCCCCAAGUAACGUCAAGGGAGUUAGAGGCGGCGUUCCAGCCUUUCGGACGAGUACGUUGUCACAAGCAGGCGGAUCGUGGUCACGCUUAUGUCGUGUUUGAGAAUGGUCGAAGAGUAGCUGAGUUUCUAAGUAGUUGUAGGCGGACUGAAGGAGCAGAGAUAUACGCGUGGCAGGCGUGGGGUACUAGCCUUCAAGUGAUUCCAUGGGAAACUAGCGAUAAUCAGUACGGUGAACGUAUCCUUGAUCUGGGCGUUGACCAGCUGAACUUCAUGGUAUUUGUCGGAGCCCUUUACGGUGAAACGACAGCUAAACAGCUUGCUUUCGUCCUGGAAUUGACCUGUGGGCCGGUUCAAUUUGUCCGCAUCGAUACGGAUCGGUAUCAGUAUCCGACUGGCUCCGCGCGGGUCCAAUUCAGAACCUAUCAAAGCUUUCUACAGGCGCUCAAAAUACACUACCUCGAAAUUCGCGCUCAUCACUACCAAAGGGUUCGUUGAAGCUUAUAUAUUGAGACAAAGAAGUUAUUAGUCAUGAAGAAGUGCUGUGCCACAUGCUUCACAAUACAGUUCCUAGGUCUACAGUACGGAGGUCGAACCAAGUAACUGACAAUUGAAUUAAAUCCAUUUGUUGACGAAGGCGUGCUAUGCUCUCGUUGCUUGAGCAACCCAUCAGUGGUCGUAUGUAAGGCUGUAAGUAGUUGUAUUCAAUUGUUUGUUUAUUGACUAAUCCAAAGUCGCGUAUGAGAGCUGCGGAAAAAAUCACUCAGGUUUCCAUCUAUCAUCCCUGGUUUCUAAAUUCCUACUUUUCUACUUAUAAAUAGCACAUUUUAGUGUAUAGUAUGAAAUAUAUCGCACUCGUUUGGGGCAUUCCUGGGGUUGAGGCUUUUCGUUCCUUCUACCUUCUAAAACAAUUCCUUUUUAUUAUCGGCACGAUCUUAUUCGAUUCCUGUUUUACAAUACGGCUUAAUUUUUCUGCAAUACGCAAGGUGGAAUACGGAAAUAAUUUGCAGCGCGUUGUGUUGCAGGCAACUUGUUUGAAACAUUACUGUAAUCGGUGCUUUAUGGAACACGUUACGCCCCUCACCGAUGAGCACAUACCGGUUAUUCGACGAGAACAGG